rnacentral:rRNA from 1 species
GAGGGGCACGUGCACGCUCUGUUUACACAUCCACUCACACCUGUGCACCCUCUGUAGUUCUGUGGCCAGAGGGACCCCCCGUCCCUCUGCUGUGGUUCUACGUUUUUAUACACACCCUGUAGUAAAGUCUUAUGGAAUGUGUGCCGCGUUUAACGCAAUGAAAUACAACUUUCAGCAACGGAUCUCUUGGCUCUCGCAUCGAUGAAGAACGCAGCGAAAUGCGAUAAGUAAUGUGAAUUGCAGAAUUCAGUGAAUCAUCGAAUCUUUGAACGCACCUUGCGCCCCUUGGCUAUUCCGAAGGGCAUGCCUGUUUGAGUAUCAUGAACACCUCAACCCUUGUGGUUCGCCACGAUCGGCUUGGACUUUGGAGGAUUUGCUGGCCCCCUAGGGUCGGCUCCUCUCAAAUGAAUCAGCUUACCAGUGUUUGGUGGCGUCACAGGUGUGAUAACUAUCUACGCUUGCGGCCGUCCGCCAUGCAACCUUCAGCGAUGAGGGUUCGCUGGGGCUCACAGAUGUCUCUCCUGAGUGAAGACAG